rnacentral:rRNA from 1 species
CAGGAUGAACGCUAGCGGCAGGCCUAAUACAUGCAAGUCGAACGAUAUUAAGGGGCUUGCUCCUUAAGAAAGUGGCGCACGGGUGCGUAACGCGUAUGCAACCUACCUUCAUCAGGGGGAUAGCCCGGAGAAAUCCGGAUUAAUACCGCAUAAAAUCACAGCACUGCAUAGUGCAAUGAUCAAACAUUUAUGGGAUGGAGAUGGGCAUGCGUGUCAUUAGCUAGUUGGCGGGGUAACGGCCCACCAAGGCGACGAUGACUAGGGGAUCUGAGAGGAUGGCCCCCCACACUGGUACUGAGACACGGACCAGACUCNNACGGGAGGCAGCAGUAAGGAAUAUUGGUCAAUGGAGGCAACUCUGAACCAGCCAUGCCGCGUGCAGGAAGACUGCCCUAUGGGUUGUAAACUGCUUUUAUCCGGGAAUAAACCACAUUACGUGUAAUGUGCUGAAUGUACCGGAAGAAUAAGGAUCGGCUAA